rnacentral:rRNA from 1 species
GGUGGAAAGCACGAGCCGGGAAUGGAAAGACCGGUACAAGCGGGGUAGGAGUACAAUAGGCAAAUCCGUUGUAUGAUCCGAAGACGUGAUGUGGAGCGAAAUAAAGUAGUGAAGCGUGUGAGCCAUGUGCCGAGAAAAGCUGCUAUUGUGUAAUGCGUGCCCGUACCGUAAACCGACACAGGUGGAUGAGGAGAGAAUCCUAAGGCCGACGGAAGAAGCAUUGUUAAGGAAUUCGGCAAAAUGACCCCGUAACUUCGGGAGAAGGGGUGCCUGCGAGAGCAGGCCGCAGAGAAUAGGCUCAAGCAACUGUUUAGCAAAAACACAGGUCUAUGCGAAACCGAAAGGUGAAGUAUAUGGGCUGACGCCUGCCCGGUGCUGGAAGGUUAAGAGGAGAGGUUAGCGUAAGCGAAGCUUUGAAUUUAAGCCCCAGUAAACGGCGGCCGUAACUAUAACGGUCCUAAGGUAGCGAAAUUCCUUGUCGGGUAAGUUCCGACCCGCACGAAAGGCGUAAUGAUUUGAGCACUGUCUCGACAAUGCAUCCGGUGAAAUUGAAGUACCAGUGAAGAUGCUGGUUACCCGCGCCAGGACGGAAAGACCCCAUGGAGCUUUACUCCAGUUUGAUACUGGGAUUCGGUACUGCAUGUACAGGAUAGGUGGGAGACGAAGAAGGAUGGACGCCAGUCUGUCCGGAGUCGCUGUUGGGAUACCACCCCUGUAGUACUGGGUUUCUAACCAGUUGCCAUGAUCUGGUAAUGGGACAAUGUCAGGCGGGGAGUUUGACUGGGGCGGUCGCCUCCGAAAGGGUAUCGGAGGCGCUCAAAGGUUCCCUCAGAAUGGUUGGAAACCAUUUGAAGAGUGCAAAGGCAGAAGGGAGCUUGACUGCGACACCGACGGGUGGAGCAGGUACGAAAGUAGGACUUAGUGAUCCGGUGGUAUAAAGUGGGAUUGCCAUCGCUCAACGGAUAAAAGCUACCCUGGGAUAACAGGCUUAUCACUCCCAAGAGUUCACAUCGACGGAGUGGUUUGGCACCUCGAUGUCGGCUCAUCGCAUCCUGGGGCUGUAGCAGGUCCCAAGGGUUGGGCUGUUCGCCCAUUAAAGCGGUACGCGAGCUGGGUUCAGAACGUCGUGAGACAGUUCGGUCCCUAUCCGGCGCGGGCGGAGGAUAUUUGAGAGGAGCUGUCCUUAGUACGAGAGGACCGGGAUGGACGGACCACUGGUGUAUCUGUUGUCGACCAACGGCAUGGCAGAGUAGCCAAGUCUGGAAGGGAUAAACGCUGAAGGCAUCUAAGCGUGAAGCCCCCCUCAAGAUGAGAUAUCCCUCCUUCGGGAGUAAGACCCCUUGAAGACUACAAGGUAGAUAGGGCAGAGGUGGAAGCAUGGCAACAUGUGGAGCUGACUGUUACUAAUAGGUCGAGGGCUUAAUU